GAACGCUGGCGGCAUGCCUUACACAUGCAAGUCGAACGGCAGCACGGGAGCAAUCCUGGUGGCGAGUGGCGAACGGGUGAGUAAAGUAUCGGAACGUACCUUUCAGUGGGGGAUAACGUAGCGAAAGUUACGCUAAUACCGCAUAUUCUGUGAGCAGGAAAGCAGGGGAUCGCAAGACCUUGCGCUGAUUGAGCGGCCGAUAUCAGAUUAGCUAGUUGGUGGGGUAAAGGCCUACCAAGGCGACGAUCUGUAGCGGGUCUGAGAGGAUGAUCCGCCACACUGGAACUGAGACACGGUCCAGACUCCUACGGGAGGCAGCAGUGGGGAAUUUUGGACAAUGGGGGCAACCCUGAUCCAGCCAUGCCGCGUGAGUGAAGAAGGCCUUCGGGUUGUAAAGCUCUUUCGGCCGGGACGAAAUCGCACGGGCUAAUAUCCUGUGUGGAUGACGGUACCGGAAUAAGAAGCACCGGCUAACUACGUGCCAGCAGCCGCGGUAAUACGUAGGGUGCGAG
rnacentral:rRNA from 1 species